GGAGAAGUGGCCUGGCCUAAACACCAAGGACUUGUUCAUAGCCUAAAAAAAGGGAGAGGAGGAGUCUGGUUUUGGAGGUGUCACUCUUUGUGGAAAACAGACUUAGAUAACUGGAGCUUUCAAGCCGUUCCCCCCUGAAAGGAGGAAUUGUUUUAAGUAGAAGGGGCAGAAAAGGUUGACCCUUUUCCACUUCUGUCUGACAACAAACUGGUCCUUGUUUGGAGAACAAGUUAAUGUGGAACAUCAUUACCAUAUUAAAGUUGUGCCAUUUCUGACUGGGAAGAAGAAACUGCCUGGCUUUGGACAAGGAUUUGGAGCUGACCUUUCUCUGGGCUUGCAGGACUUGAGCAACGCCUGGAGUCGUCAGUCUCCUGUGGGUGAAAAACGAUAAACAGACUCUCAAGGGAUGCAUCUUGGCGGAGCUAGAAAGGUGCACUUUCCAUUUUGCCAAUCUCCGAGUGAAUUGCUCUGGUAUCAGGCAGGAGGAAGCUGGGGAGAGAUGGUUAAUGUGCUGCUAUGGCCAUCGAGCCAGGGGUUUGUACCCUGUGCGUCCUACUCCACUGCUGGUUUGUGCCCCUCUGCUUCCCAGCUCAUCACCUUGCAGCAUUGGCCACGGCCCUCAGCUGAUCUCCAAGAGCAAGGAUGUUGUCUUGGUGUGAUCUGAAGACACUCUGGAGCUGGAAACACACCAGGAGAAGUUUCUGUUCAUCAUCUUUUUUGCUGUUAAUAAUGUAACUCUAAAUCCAUCUCGGGAAAUCCUUUUUAAUACAGCUGUAGAGACAGGGAAGAGUUAAUUGCGUUCCUCUGCUCUGCUCUGUGUACAUUAUAGGCCAUGAGAGAAAGGGUUUGAAGCCUUUUAGCUGGGAUUUCAAAGCCAGAGAGUAGAACAGCACGUUUAUAGCUGGUUAAUAUAUCUCAGUUCUCAUCAGCAUUUAGUAACCCCCUACCCUGUCUUUACUGCUUUGUUGUUGUUUAUUUUAUUUUAUUUUUUUAAUGCAAACUUAUCUAACAGUAUGUAUUUCAUUAAAAAACAAAACAAAACAAAACAAUACACAUCAGAGCUUGCAUCCUAACACCUUUUAGCAGGAAAGGAAUGAUGUCAAGAAACAGAUUAAGAAAAAGGAACCAGAAAGGAUUUUUGGAAGAGGAAGACUGGAACCUCCUCUUCAGCUCCUAAAUUGCAGAUUUGGUGUUUGAGUUUGUGUCGAUUUACAGGGAGAAACGGGUGGGUAAGAGAGAACUGAGAAUUUACUGACUUCAGACAUGAAGAUCUCCGUAAGACAAAUGCUUGUCACCCUCAUACAUCUUCCCAAUCAGUUGGGAAACAAGACUUAAUCAGUUGAGACGGUCUGAGCAAAUAGGGUUAUCUUGCAGCUCUCUCUAAGAGUGGCCAGAUUAAUACUUAAUUCUGUCGAACAAGAAGUGAAGCCUGGAGAAGGCAGCCUGCCUCGGAGAAGGGCUGCCGUCAGCGCCACAAAGGGGACGAUGAAACGCGAGCGGUCAGGUUCACUUUUGUUUAAAAUCAAUUUCAUUUGCUCUAUCACAACCUGGUUGUGUUUGUAUUUUCAGUAAUGGCUGGGAAUAAUUAAUUCUCCUUCAUUUAACAGAUUCCUUGCUCUCUCAUCACUUGAAAGAAACCCCCAAAUUAUGUUAAAAAAUGACUUUCACAACAAAUUAACUAGAGAUUUAAAACCAGUUGUCGGUGUCCCUUUAAGUCAAAUCCUCUUUCUGCUUAUAGCACAGAUGCAUGAAAGAGGAGGAUGCUGUUCCUGAGCAAGCGUGGAGGAAGAUUGAGUUGUGCGUGGGAGGACAGAACAGGAGAACACUCCAGUUACUUGGGCCACUCCUCCAGCAAAUUUAAUAAGUAUUGUUAGAAAGUACUUUGCAAGGAAAAAUAAAGUUAAUCUCCUAAGCGUAGUUGAAUGAUG
rnacentral:lncRNA from 1 species